rnacentral:rRNA from 1 species
CGGGUUGCGGACAGUGUCUGGUGGGUAGUUUGACUGGGGCGGUCUCCUCCUAAAGAGUAACGGAGGAGCACGAAGGUUGGCUAAUCCUGGUCGGACAUCAGGAGGUUAGUGCAAUGGCAUAAGCCAGCUUGACUGCGAGCGUGACGGCGCGAGCAGGUGCGAAAGCAGGUCAUAGUGAUCCGGUGGUUCUGAAUGGAAGGGCCAUCGCUCAACGGAUAAAAGGUACUCCGGGGAUAACAGGCUGAUACCGCCCAAGAGUUCAUAUCGACGGCGGUGUUUGGCACCUCGAUGUCGGCUCAUCACAUCCUGGGGCUGAAGUAGGUCCCAAGGGUAUGGCUGUUCGCCAUUUAAAGUGGUACGCGAGCUGGGUUUAGAACGUCGUGAGACAGUUCGGUCCCUA